GCCCUGUUAGCUCAGUGAAUAGAGCAGCACACUUCUAAUGUGCGGGUCGCUGGUUUGAAUCCAGCACGGGGUA
rnacentral:tRNA from 1 species